AACGAACGCUGGCGGCAGGCUUAACACAUGCAAGUCGAACGCGUGUAGCAAUACACGAGUGGCGCACGGGUGCGUAACGCGUGGGAACCUUCCUCGUAGUUCGGAAUAACCCAGGGAAGCUUGGGCUAAUACCGGAUACCUCCUUCGGGAGACAGAUUUAUCGCUAUGAGAUGGGCCCGCGUCAGAUUAGGUAGUUGGUAGGGUAACGGCCUACCAAGCCGACGAUCUGUAGCUGGUCUGAGAGGAUGAUCAGCCACACUGGGACUGAGACACGGCCCAGACUCCUACGGGAGGCAGCAGUGGGGAAUAUUGGACAAUGGGGGCAAACCUGAUCCAGCCAUGCCGCGUGAGUGAAGAAGGCCUUCGGGUUGUAAAGCUCUUUCGACGGGGACGAUGAUGACGGUACCCGUAUAAGAAGCCCCGGCUAACUUCGUGCCAGCCGCCGCUGUAA
rnacentral:rRNA from 1 species